rnacentral:rRNA from 1 species
GAACGCUAGCUACAGGCUUAACACAUGCAAGUCGAGGGGCAUCAGGAAGAAAGCUUGCUUUCUUUGCUGGCGACCGGCGCACGGGUGAGUAACACGUAUCCAACCUGCCCUUUACUCGGGGAUAGCCUUUCGAAAGAAAGAUUAAUACCCGAUGGCAUAAUGAUUCCGCAUGGUUUCAUUAUUAAAGGAUUCCGGUAAAGGAUGGGGAUGCGUUCCAUUAGGUUGUUGGUGAGGUAACGGCUCACCAAGCCUUCGAUGGAUAGGGGUUCUGAGAGGAAGGUCCCCCACAUUGGAACUGAGACACGGUCCAAACUCCUACGGGAGGCAGCAGUGAGGAAUAUUGGUCAAUGGGCGCUAGCCUGAACCAGCCAAGUAGCGUGAAGGAUGAAGGCUCUAUGGGUCGUAAACUUCUUUUAUAUAAGAAUAAAGUGCAGUAUGUAUACUGUUUUGUAUGUAUUAUAUGAAUAAGGAUCGGCUAACUCCGUGCCAGCAGCCGCGGUAAUACGGAGGAUCCGAGCGUUAUCCGGAUUUAUUGGGUUUAAAGGGAGCGUAGGUGGACUGGUAAGUCAGUUGUGAAAGUUUGCGGCUCAACCGUAAAAUUGCAGUUGAUACUGUCAGUCUUGAGUACAGUAGAGGUGGGCGGAAUUCGUGGUGUAGCGGUGAAAUGCUUAGAUAUCACGAAGAACUCCGAUUGCGAAGGCAGCUCACUGGACUGCAACUGACACUGAUGCUCGAAAGUGUGGGUAUCAAACAGGAUUAGAUACCCCGGUAGUCCACACAGUAAACGAUGAAUACUCGCUGUUUGCGAUAUACAGUAAGCGGCCAAGCGAAAGCAUUAAGUAUUCCACCUGGGGAGUACGCCGGCAACGGUGAAACUCAAAGGAAUUGACGGGGGCCCGCACAAGCGGAGGAACAUGUGGUUUAAUUCGAUGAUACGCGAGGAACCUUACCCGGGCUUAAAUUGCAGUGGAAUGAUGUGGAAACAUGUCAGUGAGCAAUCACCGCUGUGAAGGUGCUGCAUGGUUGUCGUCAGCUCGUGCCGUGAGGUGUCGGCUUAAGUGCCAUAACGAGCGCAACCCUUAUCUUUAGUUACUAACAGGUUAUGCUGAGGACUCUAGAGAGACUGCCGUCGUAAGAUGUGAGGAAGGUGGGGAUGACGUCAAAUCAGCACGGCCCUUACGUCCGGGGCUACACACGUGUUACAAUGGGGGGUACAGAAGGCAGCUAGCGGGUGACCGUAUGCUAAUCCCAAAAGCCUCUCUCAGUUCGGAUCGAAGUCUGCAACCCGACUUCGUGAAGCUGGAUUCGCUAGUAAUCGCGCAUCAGCCACGGCGCGGUGAAUACGUUCCCGGGCCUUGUACACACCGCCCGUCAAGCCAUGGGAGCCGGGGGUACCUGAAGUACGUAACCGCAAGGAUCGUCCUAGGGUAAAACUGGUG